CCUACGGGGGGCUGCAGUCGAGAAUCAUUCGCAAUGGGCGCAAGCCUGACGAUGCGACGCUGCGUGGAGGACGAAGGCCUUCGGGUUGUAAACUCCUGUCAUGAGGGAAAAAGGUCUUCCGUGUUAACAGCGCGGGAGCUCGAUGGUACUUCAAGAGGAAGCCACGGCUAACUCUGUGCCAGCAGCCGCGGUAAUACAGAGGUGGCGAGCGUUGUUCGGAUUUACUGGGCGUAAAGGGCGCGUAGGCGGUUCCGUAUGUCGCGUGUGAAAUCCCUGGGCUCAACCCAGGAAGUGCGCGCGAAACUGCGGGUCUUGAGCAGAGGAGGGGAGAGCGGAAUUCAUGGUGUAGCGGUGAAAUGCGUUGAUAUCAUGAGGAACACCGGUGGCGAAGGCGGCUCUCUGGAAUCUUGCUGACGCUGAGGCGCGAAAGUUGGGGGAGCAAACAGGAUUAGAUACCCCAGUAGUC
rnacentral:rRNA from 1 species